rnacentral:lncRNA from 1 species
AGUUGUUAGCAGCAGCGAAUCUGCAUGGGUCUGCAGCAACCUCAAGUCUCCUCAGAAGAAAGAAUUUGACCAAGGGGCAUAAGGCAGAAGGAGAGACCCGGGCAAGCUUCAGAGCAAGAGUGGAAGUUUAUUAAAAAGCUUCAGAGCAGGAAUGAAAGAAAAGUACACUUGGAAGAGAGCCAAACAGGUAAAACCUCAUUAACGUAACUGCAACAAUGAAGACAUUACCUAAAGUUCUGAUCUGUGUUUGGUGCUGUGGGGGAAUUAGAAGUGAGUCAUGUGGUCCCUGACCUCAAAGGACUCCAGCACGCAUCCCAUCAAUCUGCAGAAGGAGAGGACAGACUGCAAAAAUGGGACGAGCCUCGGGGCUGGACACAAGUGGCUGGGAAACGUCCGCAGCAGGUCUCAUUCCCCGGGAGGCGAGGAUGAAAAUUACAGGUGACACAUGGGUCAAUGGCCUGUCUCCUGACUCAAGACACACAAGGAAGAGACUCUUUGAAGCCUCAGGAGCAGACACUCAAUUGGAUAGCGCCUGGGAUUUGAAGGUCUGCCAUAGAGUCCGAAGAGAGGGGGAAAACACACGCAAACCACCCAAUCACAGGGACCCCUGUGGCUCCUCACCCACCCUCCACCCUCCACCUUCCACUUAUUCCACUCCUCUCGAUUGUCAAUUAAAAUAAACAGCCUUGUAUUCC